rnacentral:lncRNA from 1 species
UGUCCAUUUUCUUUCUCACGCCAAAGAUACAUACCCCAUUUUCUUUAAUUAUUUCUACAAAACCCUGCCCCGUUUUAAGUAUUGUAGCCCCUGAUCACUGAUACCCUGUCCAAGUGAUGUAGGGCCCCGUAACGUAUGACAAGGCUCUGCCUAAAUUCGUUGGGGUUCUGUCUCGUGACGUAGGGAUAAAGUAGAAUUGGGUUGCUAUACUUAAUGUGAGUGCACUAUAUAUUUAUUAAAUAACCCAUGAGUGAUACCCAAAAUAGAACAACCCUCCUAAAACACCCCUGACACCCUACACUUUCUAAAAUAUAUCCCAUACGUGAAAACCGAUCCCGAAAUACAAUAUAUAAAUUAAAAACAAGAAAUAGUAAGUUGAGGCGGGCCGCGUAAGACCCCGUUAAGUUAACGCGGGCCGCGAGAGAUCGAAGUUGUGGCGCAGCCCAGUGAUGACACGUGUCAUCAUCGUGGCGGGUCUAGAGGGUGAGCCGGACAAGCUAGUCCGUUGACCAGGGUUGACGCGGGCCGCGUAACCCUUGUCCUUUCUUUACGCGGGCCGCGUGGGAACCAGUUUCAGCACUAUAUGAAGGCCAUCGGGUUUCACUUUCCAUUAUAACCAGGGAAUCACAAAGGAAAGCCCUAUAAUAGCAAUGUGAGUUUAUCCUCUUUUUGUUAAUGUUUUUGGAAUAAUUUACAAAACCUUAAAUGUUUUACAAUGUGAUUAAGCGGUGAUUGAGUCUUUGUAGUUCUUCAAUUACUGCCGGUAUGUUGGGGUUUUGUAUACAAAAUUUGUACUACUUGCGAGUAGUAAGUCGGGAUGACAAUACAUUACCAUUGGACAAUGAGUUAGCCAAUGGGUAAUAUGACCCACAAGUCAGGAUUGAUAGUACCAAAUGGAGUAAUUGUGUAGACAUAAACACUGUAAUCGUCCUCGAUACUGCUUUAAUCGAUAAAAUGUUUCUUGAUUAAACUUGGAUUCACUCACCAGUAUUUCUUGCUGGUAAAAUGUUUUAAACACGUGUUUCAGGUAACUUAGUAUGAAGCUAAUAAAAGCCAGCUGGAGAGCACUGAAGGCUUGGAAAAGUGACAAUAAAGUUACCUAAAAUAAAAUAGAUGUUUUUAUUAAACAAAAUAGGAUUUGGUCCUAUGAAAAUGUAUGUACUGCAAAACUUGGGUUAUCCCAUGUGUUUAAUGUUAUAAAAUGUGGUGGUUUACU